UACGUAGGGGGCAAGCGUUGUCCGGAAUCAUUGGGCGUAAAGAGCGUGUAGGCGGCCCGGUAAGUCCGCUGUAAAAGUCAAAGGCUCAACCUUUGAAUGUCAGUGGAUACUGCCGGGCUAGAGUCCGGAAGAGGCGAGUGGAACUCCUGGUGUAGCGGUGGAAUGCGCAGAUAUCAGGAGGAACACCGAUGGCGAAGGCAGGUCUCUGGGCCAUAACUGACGCUGAGAAGCGAAAGCAUGGGGGCGAACAGG
rnacentral:rRNA from 1 species